AAAAAAUCUGUUAAUUUUAAAAUUCUCAAGGUUUCACACCCACAAUCCUCAGUCAAUACUUUCAUGGUUCAGAUACUACUUUGAGAUGCAGUUGCAUCUUCUACUCAGGGACAUACUUUUUUUUUGACAAGCAUUUCAAUUAAAUUGUCGGAGUUUGGCUUGAUUUUUUUUUGUUUUUGUUUACUACAGUUACAAAUCCUGAUGAUGUCCCAUAACCAAAAACUUUUUCUGUCAGUACUCUGACUUUACUGAGUUAUGCUGAGGCAAGUUGAAGUAAUGUCAUGAAUUAUUUAUAGGAACGAAAGUGGCCAUUUAUUUUGUUCGUUAUCAUUUAAGCUUGUUGCCUUAAAUCGCUGCACGCAGGCAGCUCAGUGGACUCAGGCUGCCAUGUAAAAUAGAGACAGAAAUGAAGUCUAAAGGCAGAUUCGAUAAAAAGGAGGAAAAAUCUCCCCCCUCACAGCGUAAAAAUCCUGUCAUGAAAGCAGUAUGGCUAAUGGAUUUCUAAUGUAGGUAGAAGGUUUUAGUCAAAUUGAGAUAAAGGUGUGAUUGACAAGAACAAUUGUACCUCUUAGUGAUAUUCUUGGAGUUGAAGAGGUAUGAUGGAAGCAAUUAUUUCCAUAGUUCAGCCUCCUAUUGUCUGUCUCUUUUCAUUAGACUGAAGUAAAGAUUGUGUUUAUCUAGAUGGUUAAUACAUAUUUACUGCUGUUUCAGUGCCUUACACAUGUUUUGACAACUGUGGAAUGUCCCUGAAACUCAUUUUGCUGCAAACAGUUUUCAUUAUUUUUUUUCCUCCAAAAAAACUGAAGGAUGAAGUACAGAAGUAGCCAUCCACUUCUGCAGCUGGCAUUCAAAUUGAGCAAGCGCGUAUUUGCUGCUGUGAAUAGACAAUGCCAGUGGGACAGAACAUUGUGUCAUGAUAAUGGUCUCUGGGCUGUAACAUAAAUGCUGGACCAGACCAAGGAAUUCACAGAAGAGAAAUGAGCUGUUAUUUACCAGGAAAGAACUGAUAUUCAGGAUGAAGAUCAGAAGCCAACUUAUCUGAAAAAUAUAUUCUACUCUACCUGAGUAUUUGACAAGUCAGACAAAUCCAAUAAAAUGUACGUGCCUCUUCCCAAAUUAGCACAAGAGUCUUAAGUAUGGAGUCGCAGAACAAAGACCACACUGGGAUAGCAGCCUGGCAGAAUCCCAUUCUCAGCUUUGGAUGCCUGCUUUCUCACUCAAUUUCCAUCAUUAUCAAACUGAACAUAAACACUAUCCUCAGAGUCUAAAAGCUGUGGUUCCCAAACCUGUUUUCUUUGGAAGCACCAUGCAGUAACAGGGCCUGUAUAGGACUUUCUCAUGUAUUGAAGACAUAGCUGGUGUGUCAGACUUUGAGUUUAUUGCACUGUAGAGAGUAAGUUGUAAUAUAUCUUGCUACUUUGACCAUUGAGUCUACAUUAGUCUGUGGAUUACUAGUGAUCUCUAAUCGUAAUUGUAGAUUACUAGUUUAAAAUAAUGUUCUGAGAAGCUGUUUAGCAAAAUGAGUAUAUGGCUGUUCAUGUAACUUAACCUUAUUUUUAAUGUGUUCUGCUCUAAUAUUUCCAAAUUUGAGCUCGAAUUAAGCUGUUCAAAAUACUUCUAUUGCAGGUUCAUCAAUUUUGCCAUCCUUACAAAAGAGGAACAUAGGAUAAGCUUGAUAGCUUAAUCAAUAGAAAAGGUUUAUACUUAACAGCAUCAGCACAGACUCACUAUGAAUCAACCUGCUAAGCUUAAAUUUUGCUCACUGAGGCAGCUGGACUAAUUUUACUGACUUUAAAGCAAACCUAAUAAGCUGCUGUGAGAACACACAUUUCAGUUUCAGUAUAGUUGAAAACCCAUCGAAGGCAUUGAGAAGGCUCAGGUGCUUAAAGCUAAACCUGUGUUUAAAUGCUUUGCUGAGCUCUAUUGAAGCUGGCAAGACCGUACUCUUAGAAUUUAUAGGAUCAGAAAGUAUCUAAGUGUUUCAUUGACCCAAGAAGUGCUGGAGAUCUCUGAUGAAAAUGUACUUUUUUCUUACCGUAACUGCAGAACAUUUUAACCAGUCAUGUUCUAGAAUCACACUCAUCUGAAAUUGAGGUCAUAUUAUGUCUUUGUAUCUCUAUUAGGAAAGAAAGCUGAGUUUUCAUAGGAUUUUGUUAUUAAGCCCAACUUAGUCAUGCCCGUGGAGUAUUUAACUCCUUCAAUUUAAGCUCUUCAGAAGUGCCCUAUGCUUUCAAAAAUAGAUAGUGAAUUCUAAGAAGGUGUAUAAAGAGGUGGUAAGAAUAUAAGAAUAUCUCGUAUUGAAUAUACAUUUCUUACUGGAAGUUCCUUGAAGCUUCAUCAAAAAGAUACAGGCUUAGAGGCUGACAAACAUUUUGGUACAUUUUCUGCAGUUGAGCAGUGAUGUUUUUCUUACACACUAGAGUUUAAGACAUUGUAAACUGUAACUCAGUUGUCAUUACAGGAAGUUAACAAGCUGCCUGCAUGCUUUAAUACUUACCAUGUUCUCAUAAUUAGCGCUGGUGAGUCUUUCAAGGUUUUCAAGUCACAAAUGAUGUUCUGUUGCAGUGACAAACAUAACAAGGUACUAGUACACAUCAUCUCUAUCUAAUCCAGUUAUUUUGUGGUAGAUGUUACGUUAAAGAAAGGUAAGUAACUACAGCCCUUCCCUCUGCUUGCCAGUUCUCCCAGAACCUUUAGCAGUGACCGUCGUGCUCUUCAUUUCAUUGCACACAUAUGCUUGCUGCUUCCAAGCAUAGUUCUCAAUGUUCCAAGCCUCAAACUAACUAAUAAAAUCAUUUUGUGCAAUGUAGCAUAUGGUAAAGGUGGGCUGGAAUGGAUAAGCAUGGAAUUCCAGUAUCAAUACCCUGGAGGCAUUUUAUCAAGUUAACAAUGUUUGUAACUUUGUGUGCAUUAUCAGCAAAGUAAUACAAGCCAUUCAUAUGUUUAUUCAUCAGUAAUUCACUAAUAAAAUGCAUUGAAAACUGCUAAUUAAAUAGCAAGCUGUUAAUUAUAAGGUGACAGCAGAUGAGCCACGGCAAGUGUAAUUUUAAGACUUUUUCUAUCUUAGAAAAUGAUUGACUCCAUGGAGGAUGCAUAAUCUCAUUUCAUUAAAAAAUACUUUUUUCUGUUUCUCUGGAGGAGUGGAGAAGUUAAAACAUUGAAGGAGUCUUGACAAUCUCUUUUCAUGCCUGUAGUAGAAGCUCAGUCUCUGGUGGAAGUUCAGUCUCUGAUGGAAGCUCAAAAAGACCUUAUUUCUCACCCCAGUAGAGUAAAACGAGCAUCAAAAGAUCUUGCCAUCAAUAUCAAAUAAUACUCAAUUGCCUCUAUAUCUCACAAACAGACCGUAUGGUUUCUAAUUUAAAUAUAUAUUACAAAAAGAAUGCCACCAUAAGCUUAGUAAUUGUUCUCCAUGCUGGGCUUUUUUAUGCUCUCAGUUUAGGUAUAAUAUAAGGAGGAAAAUUGCAAAUGUAAUUUGCUUAUGUCAUCAAUGGGGAGAGUAAUGGGAGGGUAAAAAGGUAAUUUAGAGUAUCUGGUAUAGAGAUGUAAAGUAGUGUGGAUUCUUUCCUUCCUGGAUACUGGCCCAUACAAGUGAGUACCCAUUGUUUUCCUUCUUUUUGAAAGGAGUUAUAUGAGUAUAAAAGCAAAAGUUGAAUAAUCCAUUACCAUGUAAGUAGUGUCAUUUUAAAAUAAUUAUGAAUGUCAAAUUACACAGUCACAUCCUCAAAUUUCACUUACAUUGGUUCUAUGACCAACAUAAUUCUGCUAUCUUGUGCGUACAAUGCAGCAUAUGUUCCUUAACUGCAUGAUUACGUAGUUUUUGUAAGACUUUAAGAUCACAAGCCACACAUCAAAGUGCACCUGAAUUUCCAGUAAUAGGCUUUUGUUCUUCCUUUUCUCACCAAUCUCUUCUGAAAGGUUUUAGGAAUAGCAUUUCUUCCAAAAAAGAUAAUCAAGAAGGUUCAAUAUUAAUACUUGAUCUUGGGAAAACUCAUAGCAGUUCACAGGAACAAGAAGUUUGGAGAGAGAUUUGUGCAACAGCAGUGAGGAUAGUGACUGUGCAGGAGGGAUGGAGAGAGAGGGAGGGGGAGGCUUCACAGGGAGGUCAAGUCAGCUUGAGAUCUUGAGAAAAUCCCCAUAGUUCUCCUGAGUUAUGAAAACCUUCAGGCAGGGAAACAGCUAAAAGGCUUUUUUUCUUUUUUUUUUUUUUUUUUCUUUUUUUUAUCCUACAUCUGUCUUGUUCCAGCUGCAGUACAGAAUGAUGGUUUUGGAGCUUUAUUCUACAAGGUCUAUAGAGUCAUUUGCUACGGCUAUCAAACAUCUCCAAAUAGUGAUAGAAAGCCAGAGUGACCAGAAUGUGGGAACUGAGAAUCCAAUUUACAUGUGUAAAUUAAUGAGCUGAGAAUUAGUCCUUAAUUCUUAAAGCUGAAAGGUCCCGUUCCAGUUCAGCAGCAGCAUUCAGAGCCUGAACUCUGGAGGUCUGUCAAGGCAACUCCAGUCAGACCCAAGGAAACUCAAGUGUGCCUGUAUUUCCACAUGUUGGAGAAGAACACAACUGCUUAAAAAACGUCCUGAGACAGAGCAACUAGUGGCUGUGUAACAAACGAACUCAGUUUUCCUGCUGAUACUACCUGUUAUUACUUGUAUCAGUAACAUUAGAGCUGUGGAGCGCUAAUAAUUCUUCUCUUGCUUGCAGUGCAACAAAUCUGGGUUACAUUUAAAUAUCCAUACAGUGCAAAUGUUGUUCUUGACUGUAGACAGUAGUUACAGAAAUUAAUAAAGAACUUUUGUAUGUACUACAGAAGCACAUUAGAUCAUUCAAUUCACACAAUUUUUCCAAAAACUGAAGACUGUUUGAAUUAUUAAAAUACACCAUAGCCUACGUUAGCAUGAUUUGUGCAUUUAUUUUCUUUAAGUGCCAUAUAGAAAAAAGCACUGGGAAUUAAGCAUUGGAAUUAGUCUUUACUGUUAUGUAUUUUCAAAGAGAGGGAAAGGAUU